rnacentral:rRNA from 1 species
AAUGAACGUUGGCGGCGUGGAUUAGGCAUGCAAGUCGCGCGACAAGGUUCCUUCGGGGACUGGAGGAGCGGCAAACGGGGUAGUAAGGCAUCGGAACGUACCCUCUCGUCUGGGAUAGCCACGGGAAACUGUGAGUAAUACCGGAUGAUAUCGAGAGAUCAAAGGUCCGCCGCGAGGGGAGCGGCCGAUGUGAUACCAGCUAGUUGGUAGGGUAAUGGCCUACCAAGGCUUAGACGUCUAGGGGGUGUGAGAGCAUGGCCCCCACCACUGGGACGUGAGAUACUGCCCAGACACCUACGGGUGGCUGCAGUCGAGAAUCUUCGGCAAUGGGCGCAAGCCUGACCGAGCAACGCCGCGUGCGGGAGUGAAGG